ACUUUCUCAUUACCUCUAUCACUAUUUUUGUCAUUUUGCAUGAAUCUUUGCAUGAUUUGUAGAUUUACAUGCCAUUUUUGUAUGAAUCAGUUCGUGGAGUACAGUAAGAUGAUAUACUUGGAUGGGGAUAUUCAAGUCUACGAUAACAUUGACCACCUCUUUGAGCUACCAGACGGACAUUUCUAUGCAGUGAUGGACUGUUUCUGUGAGAAAACAUGGAGUCACACGCCACAGUACAAGAUUGGAUACUGCCAACAGUGUCCGGAAAAGGUUCAGUGGCCAGCGGAGCUGGGUCAGCCGCCUUCACUUUACUUCAACGCAGGCAUGUUCGUGUUUGAGCCCAGCCUCUCCACCUAUGAAGAUCUCUUGGAAACCCUCAGGAUCACCCCUGCAACCCCUUUUGCAGAGCAGGUAAACACAUAAGCUUUUGCUGAUGAUAUUCUUCCAACAUAAUCCGGUUGUGGUUCUGGGAUUUUGUUAUUUAGGAAAAUGUGUAUGUGUUUUUGGCAGGAUUUCUUGAAUAUGUACUUCAGCGAUGUAUAUAAGCCUAUUCCUCUGGUCUACAAUCUUGUCCUUGCCAUGCUGUGGCGGCAUCCUGAGAAUGUAGAGCUUGAUAAAGUGAAAGUUGUUCACUACUGUGCAGCGGUGAGUACCAAAGAAGAUUGAUUUUGGGAGAUUAAUUCGCAAGUUAUAACCUGUGGUGGUUAUGUAUACUAAUACAAAUAUUUGUGAACGGUAUACCAGGGGUCGAAGCCAUGGAGGUACACAGGGAAGGAGGACAACAUGCAGAGAGAGGACAUUAAGAUGCUGGUAAACAAAUGGUGGGAGAUAUACAAUGACAAGUCAUUGGAUUACAAGAAGACGAGGAUGAUGGCGAAUGAUUACAGCAGUGUUUUGCCGGGGGAGCAGGUGAAUUUGGAGCCGUUCAUUGCAGCUCUUUCCGAGGUGGGGCAUGUUGAAUUUGUGAGAGCCCCUUCAGCAGCCUAGAAGAGGCCAGUACUCUCGUGGAGAAGAGGAUCCAAGGGGCAUGCAAGCAGAUGACCGGUGAAUUUCCAUUUUCGAGAUGAAAAUGUUGGUUAUUUUUGUGGUUUGGGGGUUUGUCACGGUUAGUGAAUUUUUACGUUGUUCACUUGUAAUAUCCUUAAUGAUUGCCCACUACAAGGCAAAUUACUUCCAGUCAUACAUAAAAUCUCAAAGACACUCUGUUUUAUCUGCUGUUGAACUCUGUUUUUUUUUUUUUUUUUGCUCUUUUUCUCCCUCCUUUUUCUUUUUAUUUAUUUAUUUUCUUUGGGAAAUGGAAUUGAAAUACGUGGGACAAGAAUCGUAUAGGCUUAUUUGAGACAACAAAACAUCCACCCAGUCCCAGUCGCGGACCUGUUAUGGUGAAGGCAAGUUGAUUAAGGACGGUACAGCAGGGCACUUAAUUAUGGCUAGGUUAUAUCCCAACUUGUGGGUAGAAAAAAAAGGGUAAUAUUAAAAUGAGAACCAAUUUAAAAAGCAUUUUUGAAUUUAAUUUAAUUUUAAUUUAUUUGUUAUUUAUAAUUUUGAAGUUAAUUUUAACUUAUUUAUUAAGAGGAAAAAUUAUACUUAUAAGAAGGAUUAAAUGUACAUAAAAAAAAAUAUUCGUAUGUGAAAAGAAAAGAAAUAUUGAAAAAUAGUAAGAAAACUUUAUUUUAGGCAUAACUAAUGAUUGGUUGAAAGUUUUCAUUAUCAUUCUCAUUUGACAUUUCUUUUUACCAUAUAAGUGAUUUGAUUUGAAUGGAAAGUUGGAUACUAGAUCUUUAAGGAUAAGGAAGGAGAUUAAUUUAAUCAGAUUUCUUUUUAUCUCUUUUACUUUUUUAAAUUAAAAGAAAAUAAAAAAAAUAGAGAGAAAAAAAUAAAAGAAAUAAAAAAUAGAUUUAAAAUUAAUAAAUUAUUUUUAUAUAUAUUUUAAAACUCAUUUCACUUAUUUCCUAUAUAAUUUUAAAAUAUAUAAAUUAUUAAUUAAUUUUAAUUAUAUUUAUUUUUUUUAUAAUGAAACUAAAAAUUAAAAAAAAUAUUAUAUAUAAGGGUGGAGGUUAAUUUAAUUACAUCUUUUCUUAAUUUAUUUUAAAUUUUUAUCUGCUUAGUUUUAAUAUUGAGGGAAAAUACUAAAAAAAGAAAAGAAAAAAUAAAAAAAUAAAAAAGAAAAUUAGAAAAUAAUUUUAAAAUUAAUAAAUUAUUUUUAUGUGUUUUUUCAAAGUUAUUUCACAUGUUUCUCUAUGUAAUAUAAGGAUUAAAUAAAUUUUAAAUAUUUUAAAUUUAAUUAUAAUUGAUUUUUUUAUAUAACAAAAUUAAAUAUAAAAAAUCAUUUUUCUUAAUAUUUUAUUUUAUUUUUAUUGUUUUUUGUUUAGUAUGCAGAAGCUCUCAUUCCACUUGUGUCGGCAAAAACAUCAUUGUAAAUAUAUUAAAAGAAAAACAUAAAAAAUAAAGCAAAUCACGUAAAAGGUACACAAAGUUUUAAUAUGAUUUGAUCAAUUAUGACUAUUUUCACCAAUGAGAAAGAACAUUUUAUCAUAUGAUAGAAAAUAUUAUAAAGAACAAAAAUCUAAAAAAAUACAAUUACGAGAUCUCUAUCUUAAAAUAUGAGCCGUUUUACUUCAUUAAAUGUUUUUUUUUUUCAUCACAUUUACUUCCCAGUAAACCCCCUUUCUCUACUAGAUGUAUGUCGUUCUUUCUCAUAUUUUUAUUCCAUCUCUCUCAUAACUUUUUUUUAAAAUAAAAUAUUUAUAAAGAUAUUUCUAUUAACUUCGUAAGAAUCUAAUUAUUAUCACAUAUAAAUUAAAAAAUAUUAUAUAUAAUAUUUCUUUUACAAAUAUAUUCCCCAUCACUUUCCCGCCAAACAUAGGAUAAAUGAUGCUCUUUAUGUCCUAAUCUUUCCAAACUUUCAAGUAUUCUUUUACUUAGAAAUUACAAAUUUGAUACAAAUUGGGCCACCAUUUGAGAGUCCAAUCCCUCCAGCCAGAUUUAUAGGUGAGUUUAACUUGAAUUGAAGAAGUAGGAAUGUAAAAAUACUGGGAUUGACAUGAAUUCAAGAUCAGAAAACCCCCGAAAGCCAAAUCCAGCACAUUAUUGAUUUAUUUUUAUUUUAUUAUAAUAUAAAAAACAUAAAUUAUAAAAAAACAUAAAUUAUAAAAAAACACUAACUUUCUUAAUUUUUAAUUACAUUUUAAUUAUUAAAAUAUCUUUAAUAGUUAUAGUUAAAGUUUGAGCUUAUGAAUAAUUAUUUAUGUUAAAAUAAUAAUUAAUAAUUUACAGUUUUGACACCUUUUUGUUUUUUGACUUGAAGAAAAAAAAUAGUAGUAACUUAUAUAAAAAAUGAAAAAUUUUAUUAAAAAAAAUUAAACUUAUUUCAUGUCUUUAAAAAAUUACUUUUAGAAAUGUAAGUUAAAUAGAUUUUAAAAACUAUAAUUUUUCUUUAAUAUAAGUUGUUAUUUUUUAUAGGUUGAAUAUAACAUGAAAUAGGACAAGAUAAUAUAUCAUAUCUCAUUUUUUAUUGGUAAUAUUAGGGGUGCAACUUGUACGGGUUGGUUUGACCCAAUUGGAACCCAAUCCAAUGUUUGGGUGAACUUAGGCAAAUAUUUCCAUUACUUGAGUUAAACUUGAAUUAAGUUUUUUCAACUCGAAUUCAAUUUGAAUUGGAUCCAAGCUAAGGUUUAAAAAACUCGAGGAUAACUCGAACUUGAUUUAAUAUUUUUAUGAUAUUUAUAAUGUUAAUGUUUAUUAUUUUAAAUGAUAAUAUUCAUUUUCUUUUUAAUUUUGGAAGAAAAAAAUAUCAAAUUAUAAUUAUAUCACACAGUUAUUACUUUUUAAAAAAGAUAUAUAAGUUUAUUUUUACUUUUUUUUAUUAUCUUGAAAUUUUGUGCUAUUUAUUAUUUAAAUUUUGAUAUAAAUAUAUAGAAAAUAAGUUUUUUUAAAAACUAUUAUAGAUGAAUUUUAAAUCUUUCAGCACAAUGAAUCCAAAUAAUUUGAGUCUAACUCAAUCAACUCGAGUUUAACCCAAUCAACUCGAUCAACUUGAGAUCAACUUGAAUUUAGAAAAUAAGGUUAGGCUAGGCUUGGGUUAAGUACUUUGGGUUAGAGGACGAGUUAUGUUAACCUUAACUUGAUUCUUUCUUAAUUUGUGUUGGAUUUGAGUUAGCUAUUAACUCAACCAACUCGCCCAAGUUGCCAUCCAAGUUGCAGCCCCAAGUAAUAUUUUAGGAUAAGUUAUCUUAUCAUAUUUCAUAUAUUAUAUCUUAUAUUUAACAAAAUAGGAUAUUUAACAAAAUAUGCGUUUGGUAUAAAAUAGGUAGUAAGAUACUUUGGUAUAAAAUAGGUAGUAAGAUACUAAGAUAAAAUGUCUUUUUUCUCUUUUUAUUUUUUUUCUUUUAUACAUAUUAAUUUUAAAUAAUACUCUUUAUUUAUUUAUUAUAAUAUCUAAUGGACACUACAAAACGUUGUAUAGAUCACCUAGUAAAAUGAAAAUAUUAAAUCAAAUUAAAAGUGUGUUCAACUAUUAUUUUAGAAAGUAUUUCUAAUUUUUCUAAGAUUUCAGUAUUAAAUAUAUUAGAAGCAUUUCUUAAAAUCAUUGUGAAAUAAACUCUAAUUUAUAUAUUUAAAAAUCACUUUUAUAAAUUUUAAAAUUUAAGUUACUAAAAUUCUUUUGAUGUCUUAAUUUUUUAAAUAAUUUUUAAAACUUUUAUUUAUUUUUAAAUAAAAGGAAAUCUAUUAGUUUUUGGAUCUUCCCAUAUUGUUUACCAUUAACAGCCAUGAGGCGUUACCUCUUUUUUUUUUUUUUUUUAAUCGUGAAGUUCGAUUGACGUGUAAUUCUGCUUAAAAUAAAUUAAGUGUAUGUUUAACAAAAAAUUUUAAAAGUAUUUUUAAUUUAAAAGGUAUUUAAAAAAAAACAUAAGAUGAAAUUACUUAUAAUGUUAUUUGGUGAAACAUUUUAUAGAUAUAUUCUUUUAAAAAAUAUUAAGAAAAUACUUUCAUUUUAAAACAUGGAGAACAUUCUUAAAUGUGCUUUAUUUAAUUUCUAUUUUUUAAAAAAUUAAAAUUUAUUUUUUAAAUAAAAAUAGGAGAAUCCGACAUUUUUAUUAGCUAUAGAAUACUCUUUUUGUAAUAGAAAUGAUAAUAAGAUGAGUUUUUCUUUUGUUUUUCUUUUAUUUUUUAUUUUAUCUAUCCUGCCCUAAUGGAACAUGUUUAAAAUUUAAAUAAAUAAGUUGGAAAUAAGUUUGAGAUUUUUUAAAAAAUAUAUAACAGAUUUGGGUGUUAAGUCCUUAUACUCAUAUUAUGUACAAAAUUAAUUUACUUUAAUUUUAAAUUUUUUAUUUUUAAUAUGUAACAAUAAUAAAAAAUAUUUUUUAAUAUAAUAAAUUAUAAAAAAUUAUAGUAUUUUAAUUAUUUAUAAAAUAUAUUUAUUUUAAUAUAAUAAAAAAAAAGUUAGAUUGAAUGGGCGAGGCAAGAUAAGUAUAAGAAAUUUGCGUACCAUUAAGACUCUCUUCCACAUGCCACGUCUCCAGAACCUUCCCGGUGACACUGCACAACCGUUGGAUCAUACCUGAGGCACGUGUCAGCAGGCAACCCAAGAUCACAUGACCUAUGAAGUUACCAAAUUAUGCUCACCCUCUUCAAUUUUAAAUAUCAUUUAUCGCUUAUUUAAGCCACAAACGCGCCAUCGGCAUCCUCAAUUAAGAAGGAAAGACAACCCAGAGUCAGAUUCUCCAGCCUCAGCUCUCUCUAGAACCGUCGUCUCUCUUCCUUCCCAUCCACUCUAGCACAUUCUCGCUCACAUGGCUCCUGAAAUCAUCUCCGCUUCGGGAAAACCGUCCGGAUUUUUGAAACCGGCUAGUCUUCCGGACAGAGCAUACGUGGCCUUCUUGGCCGGUAACGGGGACUACGUGAAAGGUGUUGUUGGGUUAGCCAAGGGGCUGCGGAAGGUGAAAUCCGAUUACCCGCUUGUGGUGGCGGUGUUACCGGACGUGCCGGUGGAGCACAGCCGAGAACUGGAAUCCCAGGGGUGCAUCGUCAGAGAGAUUGUGCCGGUUUACAAGAACCAGACCCAGUUCGCCAUGGCCUAUUACGUUAUCAAUUAUUCAAAGAUCCGUAUCUGGGAGGUACGUGAUAGUACUUUCUCAUUACCUCUAUCACUAUUUUUGUCAUUUUGCAUGAAUCUUUGCAUGAUUUGUAGAUUUACAUGCCAUUUUUGUAUGAAUCAGUUCGUGGAGUACAGUAAGAUGAUAUACUUGGAUGGGGAUAUUCAAGUCUACGAUAACAUUGACCACCUCUUUGAGCUACCAGACGGACAUUUCUAUGCAGUGAUGGACUGUUUCUGUGAGAAAACAUGGAGUCACACGCCACAGUACAAGAUUGGAGACUGCCAACAGUGUCCGGAAAAGGUUCAGUGGCCGGCGGAGCUGGGUCAGCCGCCUUCACUUUACUUCAACGCAGGCAUGUUUGUGUUUGAGCCCAGCCUCUCCACCUAUGAAGAUCUCUGGGAAACCCUCAGGAUCACCCCUGCAACCCCUUUUGCAGAGCAGGUAAACACAUAAGCUUUUGCUGAUGAUAUUCUUCCAACAUAAUCCGG
rnacentral:lncRNA from 1 species